GUUCUCGAUGUUAGUUUAUGCUUGGGUAAUGGGCCAGAGAUUAGUUAUAGCCCAAUACAGUUGGAGGCUGAUGGUGAGUUGGCCACGACCUUUACACUCCCAGGCAUUGGGCCUGGAUAUUUUGGGCCUUGGGCUUCUCUAUAUUUUUAGCCUAGACUAAUUCUCCCCCAAUAGCUGUGAUUGGUAUGAUGGCUCUAAGCAUGGGAUGAGAGUACAGAAGCAAUAUGGGAUUGUCAAAGUUUAAAAAACUAGAAAUUAUGCCAAGUUUGAUCCUUUUAUAUUUUUUGAAACAGCAUAUCAAGUUUACUAUGCACCUUAUCCCGGAAAGCAAAAGGAU
rnacentral:lncRNA from 1 species